rnacentral:rRNA from 1 species
GUUAGGAAUAUUGGACAAUGGGCGCAAGCCUGAUCCAGCCAUGCCGCGUGAGUGAUGAAGGCCUUCGGGUUGUAAAGCUCUUUAGCCGAUGAUUAUAAUGACUGUAGUCGGAAAAUAAGCCCCGGCUAACUUCGUGCCAGCAGCCGCGGUAAUACGAAGGGGGCGAGCGUUAUUCGGAAUCACUGGACGUAAAGCGUGCGUAGGCGGCUUUGCAAGUUGGGAGUGAAAGCCCAGGGCUCAACCCUGGAAUUGCUCUCAAAACUGCAAGGCUCGAAUUCGGGAGAGGAUAGCGGAAUUGUCAGUGUAGCAGUGAAAUGCGUAGAUAUUGACAGGAACACCAGUGGCGUAAGCGGCUAUCUGGACCGAUAUUGACGCUGAGGCACGAAAGCGUGGGGAUCAAACAGGAUUAGAUACCCUGGUAGUCC